rnacentral:tRNA from 1 species
GGUGGCUCAGUGGUAGAGUACUUGCCUUGCAUGCAUGAGGACCUGGGUUCGAUUCCUCAGAACCA